GAAGCUUGACUGAGCUGUACACUCAGUCUGCUAACCAUUAUCCCACGUGUACGGCUUUUAAAUCAGAACUACCUUUGGAGUAUAUGGGUUGACGACACUCAACUGACUGACUCUCAUCUCAGCCUCUGACAAGAUACAUAAAAUGUAUAAAUAUAACACCGCAGCAUGCUUCACUUACUGAUGGAAUACUGAGAGGCUGGGAUUCGUAUGUGCAGAAAGACAGCUGGAGGGCUUUGACAGUGAUGGCAGGAUUUUAUUACUCUCCCCGCAAAUGAAAAGUGGGAAGAGAGGGCUUUGGACCACACCACAUGAUCAUCACUAACAACGUAAUCCAGUGAGAGCUUUGGAGCCUGAAUCAUUUGGAGCAUCAGAUUAACCGCUCCAGGGUGUGGCAGCUAAGGUCGGCCAUGCGUGUGGACAACUCUAUCUGUGACACUGUGCUCCCUUACAAAGUCACCAAGGCUUGGGCAAGCCUUCCCUUGUUGGCAAUACUCACACAGAUUAUCACAUACUGUUGGGAGGAAUCAGUACCAUUUGUACCUCAGCUGGAAAGACCUUGCGUUUGGAAGUCUAAGGAUUCUGUCUGCGUUCCUCUGUACUUCGUCUGUAAUAAACCAUAACUGCACGUUA